UCUGGCAGGUGGAUGUGAGCAGCUGGCACCUGUCAUGCUGGCCAACCGGCCUGCAACUUCUCUGCCGGCCCGCCAGCCCCCACGCCCACGGCCAGUGCAGCUGCCGAAACACAGGGCGGCAGGAGGGGAACGGGCCUGUUCCCCAUCAGACACCUGCUGAACUUGACUGCAAGAGGAGAGGAGGAGAAGGGUCAGGACCGCCGGCAGACGGGCGGGGCAGCGCAGUCACACGGCUGCUUUCUCAGCAGCGGCUCCAAGUCUCCAACGAGCACCAGGAAGACAGUGAUUUAACUGAUUUUCGACCUUCAGACGCGUCUCUCCCUUGUCACGGCUGCCUUUGAAUUCGAGCUGGAGGCGCUAGCGACUCGGCGGGUAUUCUCCACCGAAAGAUGCUCCCCUGGUUUGCCCUGUGCCAACCCUCUGCCGCCAAUGCACUUGAAAGCCCCCGACGGAUCUGUGUUUCCACCCGAAGAAGGCUAAGUGUGGAAGGAGCGGGAGAAAGCGGUAUUCGGAGUGGAACUCGAACCCGCUGCCUUCUCUGGUCCACUUUGUUCGUCAGCCACAUGAACCCGACACCUGAAAACUCUCCGUCAGGGUGGGCUGGGCGUGAAGCAGGACCCGCAGGGAUCUUGGGGCAGCAAAGUGCUUUCUCGGUGAAUUGGAAACAGGGAGUUCGAGGUGGACAGUCUGCUGACACUGCUGGGCGGGCAUGUUGCUGUGCUACUCAAACAUUAAUUAGGCACCGAAUCGCCGGGCCCUGCUAAUGCCUCCAUGGCCCCGGCCGUUUGUAACUCAGCUGCAGGAAGGGACAUCCUGGAGGCCGCAUAUUCACUGGGACCACCCUAGUGCCUUUUUUAUACGCGUGCUUCUGCAGUGGCUGCCUAACGCCGUGGUAAAUUAUGAGGCACCACCAGCUGGUGUCACAUUCUGCUGAUAAAAACGGUGGAUAAAGUUACCUCGUAUUUAUAAAAAUGUGGGUAUCUCAGCAAUUACGGUGGGAGGACUGGUUUUUUAAGCAAUUUCACUGUCACAGCUUACAUGAUUUAAUUACUAUUUAUUCUACCAACUGAAAAAAAGCUCCUCACUGUUACGUUUGAUACAGUGUUUUCCCCCAGGGCUCACCUUUUAUUGUUGCCUGCCUUGAAAUAAUAAAUAACAUGUA